CUAGUGAGAGACAGAUGAGAGAGAAGCUACUGCGUUUGAAAGAAGAAAAUAAAAAAAAAAUGGAUGAAAAGCAUCGUAGCGUGUGCAUCGUUAUAGUGGAUGCACUCUAACACUUCUCGUGUCCAGUUCUGACAGCACUCAUAGGCGCUUUUAUCUCAAAUUCGAAGAGGAAGCGAGGGAAGCUCCGAAGAUUUGAUUCGCAGCUUCUUUCUUUAUGCAGAUUUCAGGCAUUCUCGGGAUGGAUCACUUUCGGUGUUAAUCAGCAAUCUUCCCGGGAGGGCCCGAACGUCACAUUCGGUUAGAAAGGGUCAUCCGUUUCACUUGAGAACGCUUGGCACGACUCGCUUCUAAGGGAGGAAGGGUGGGGAGAUAACGAAAUUUUUUGUUCUAUAUGAUAUCCAAGGCUGGUUUUCCCCGAGAGAGCAAUUGAUUUAAGGGCAUUCUAUCUACAGGGCUAAGAUGCGAUCAGGCAUUUUCUCGAAGCUGAACGCUACUAUCUUUCUGGUUUCGCCCGGGCAACAGCUCAGCAACGAUGUGGGUGGCGAGGUUCAAUGCAUAUGCUACUUGGACCAGGGAACUUCUUGUUUGGAAAUUUAGUGCCAUUGCAUUCCUUGCCGUACUCAACUCCUUUGAUCUCUGACACUUUUCGGUUUCCUCUUGGCUGUGAGAUCACAAGAAAAUCUAUGGCUGCCUCUACCUCCAAAAUUUAUUGGGAGAUUAUUUUGUUGACGACUUCUUCACAGAUUGUGGAAAUGCCUUAGACUUCACGAAACCUACUGGUGUUUUUCAGAAGGCAAGACUGGUUUCAGAAGGCAAGACUGGUCCAAUGGUCAUCUUAUCUGUGGAAAUUUUAUUUUUGAUGGUUUGUGGAGUUGUAACCCCAGUACACUUGUUGAACCAUGGUUGAAGAAAUUCAUGCUCCAUCUUCUGCAUGCCAUUCUGCUGGGGCUGCUCAUGAUGUUUCUUUUGACAACAAUUCUCGUGACGAACAGCUUGCGGAUUCCAGCAUUUUGUCCGGCCAGGACUACAUGCUAUUAAUCUAGGAGACAGUGGAUUUAUAGUGGUUAGAGAUGGAUGCACUGUCUUCCGAGCCCCAGUGCAGCAAGGAUGGCUUCAAUUUUACAUAUCAGCUGGAGAGUGGUAGUGGGGGUGAUCUACCUAUCUCUGGUCAGGUCAGUUAACACUUUAAUACCUUGAAUCAUAUAUUCUUUGUGAGAUGUCGUCAGGAUAUAUCCGAAUCAUAUAUUGGUCUUUGGAAAUGGAAAGAGUUUUGGCUUACUUCUGUCUUUUAUGUGAUGGAAUAGAAACUUGUGGUAUGUUGUAAUGAAUUCAUAAAUUAACCACACAGAGACAGUUAUAUACACGCACGUGUGUGUGUGUGCAUUAGGGUUACACAUAUAGCUGACAUGUUACUGAUGUCUCUUCCUAUAAGGCUGCUGUCAUGGUUUACUGGUAAUUGUUUGAGAAUAUUUGGUGCACCUCUCUCUCCCUAACACAUACACAAACAUUAGAUUUAAGGAAGUGAAUUGGUCGUGAGUAUUGAAGAUCUGUUUAAUAUCAGGCUUUCAUAGUUUUGGAUCCUUGAGAGCUAAGAUACUGUUAACUAAAUCAGCGUAGGAUAUGACGAGAAAAUAUUGUUUUCUAGAAGUUACAGCUUUUGUCGUUCACACGGUUAGGGCUGGCUUGGAACCUCAAAUAACUGCUCAGAAGAUGGCAUUUCUGGCAUGCCAGCGAGCACAGGAUAGAAAUCAGCCAACACCUUUUUCUACGGCUGCUCAAGAGGCUGGGUUCUGCUAUUAUGGAGGCAAGCUCGAUGACAUUACAGUUGUGGUGUCAUACGUUACUAGUUCUUCUGGUGUGUGAGUUUCUCAUCCUCAGUAUAGCUAUACUAAUCUGCUUGUACGGUUUCAUAUAUUCAGUUAUGUAAACUAAUAGGCCCCAUUAGUUCAGUUUUUGGCCGUGAAAACAUUCCAAUUUCUUUAGUUCAAUUUUUUGGCAUUGAGACAUUCAAAUAAAUGGCGUGAGAUGGCCAAGUAUCAAAGAACUUGACAGUGUGCAUAUAUCAUUUCCAAUAUCUAGCAGGAAGCUGCAGUUUGUAGAAAUUUAA